rnacentral:rRNA from 1 species
AUUGAACGCUGGCGGCAUGCCUUACACAUGCAAGUCGAACGGCAGCACGGACUUCGGUCUGGUGGCGAGUGGCGAACGGGUGAGUAAUGUAUCGGAACGUACCUUUCAGUGGGGGAUAACGUAGCGAAAGUUACGCUAAUACCGCAUAUUCUGUGAGCAGGAAAGCAGGGGAUCGCAAGACCUUGCGCUGAUUGAGCGGCCGAUACCAGAUUAGCUAGUUGGUGGGGUAAAGGCCUACCAAGGCUACGAUCUGUAGCGGGUCUGAGAGGAUGAUCCGCCACACUGGAACUGAGACACGGUCCAGACUCCUACGGGAGGCAGCAGUGGGGAAUUUUGGACAAUGGGGGCAACCCUGAUCCAGCCAUGCCGCGUGAGUGAAGAAGGCC